AAGGCUAAAUACUCCUGACUGACCGAUAGUGAACCAGUACCGUGAGGGAAAGGCGAAAAGAACCCCGGCGAGGGGAGUGAAAAAGAACCUGAAACCGUGUACGUACAAGCAGUGGGAGCCCCACCACUAAGCCAGUGGUGAACUCCACAUACGCAUCCUUUGCUGAGGAUACGGUUAACGGAGCGAAAGCGACGUUCAACCGCAAAA
rnacentral:rRNA from 1 species